AGAUGUGAUACUAUAUAAUAUAGUAAGGCCCUAUGAAGUCCCUGUGGCAAAGGCUACCAUUCAAACAAAAAACCCAAGGGCUAUUGUUGGGGGUACUGCUCUUGGCGUGGAGUACUGUGAAGUUGUUGUGAACCAUGUGUUUAACCGGAAUGCAAUACUACCUCGUCCAUAUGAAGGGGUCACCACCAUUCUAGAGGCUCGUGGGAGAUGUAUUGCAUGGCCACAUGACAGAAUGAGGGAUGACAAGUCACCUCGGCACUCAAAAGGUGGUGGCACUGGAAGGACAUCACAACUUGAAGGUACUUAAGCUAUGUGGUGUUGAAAAUAUUUUGGACUGGGCAACCUUUUGAGCUUUGAUCAGAGAGCUGUUACAUGUUCUCUAGAAUGGCAGCAACCAUAUGUGCACCAAGUUGGUGUCCAAGUAUUUUGGAGUGGCAACAAGUGUCCGAGAAAUGCAAAUGUUGCAGGAAGACAUGAAUUGCAGUUCUGUUCUUUUGUUUACACCUACUAGGCUACUAUCGUGUAGGCCAAAAACAUAUGGAAGUGUUGAAUGCCACUUUUGCGCCCAAGUCAUGAUCUAUUGAUCUCUUAGCUUUAGCCAUAACCAGUUAGUAUAUAAGACUUAGUAUAUGCUUAUGUA